ensembl:lncRNA
GGAGAGCCAGUUGGUUACGUUAGUUGCUAAACAGUUCGCAUACAAGCGGUUGGUAGGCGACAGUUGGAAUGUUUGCGUUCACACACUAUUAUCAUGAGCGGUCUCGAACAGUGAUUAAAUUAUUUGGGAAGGAAGUUUGUUAGUAACAGUACGCAUGCACAAGUUAGCCGUUUAGCUAGCUAACAAACUAUUUAAAAACAAAUCAAACUUGACUGUCAACAGCGAGUGCAAAAUGCCAGUUCAAACGAUGCAAUUGGCAUUAUACGAUGCAACUCGUUUUGUAGAAACACAAUUUCACGCAAAUAGCUUUGCUUGAUCAACAGCACUAGCUAACUAACAUAGUUAGCUCAUUUGAAUAUCCUCAAGGCCAACGUGAGUAGUUAGCUAGCUAACGCGUUGGUCUAGCCCUUUGAUUUGGUGAAGAAUGGCUGGUACGGUAUUGGGCGUGGGAACUUUUUUUUUCUUCCAUUGCUCUUAUCUGGAUUGUAGCUUUCGUGCUGGGGAUGAUCCUCUUGAGAGCUACUGGACCAACUAACUCAGAGACCCUGUCACCAUUCAAAGAUUUUGAGGUAAGCUAUAAUACUGUAAUCACACACACACACACACACACACUUGCAAGUGAACUGCAGCUGGCUGCCUCAAUAGUUGCCUUGUCAGAGCAGAAAGUUGUUGUUGGCACACUUGGGCUUCAAAGGCUCUCUUCAGAAGUGUGAGCCACUGGUGUCAUGUGUUUUCUAAUAUUGAUACUCAAGUUGAACAGGGUACUAACAGCAGCAUCAAAAAUGGUCUUGGCCACACAGCACUUUACUGUGCACUGGCUGAACGUCACUCAGGAUUACACAUACACUGUUAUGUUGAAAUUGUAGUGUUGAGGGCUACCCUGAAAAAAUAAAAGUUAAUAAAAAACAUUUUAUAUUUAUGUCUGCUAAAUCACUGCAGUGCGGUAUUGGCUGAGUUUUAAUGGAGUAUGAAGAUCUAUUGAAUUUGAAUAGAGUAGUUGAGCUCAUCAAAGGAUUCCCCUGAACAACACAGAGGGUUUUGUCCCAAACAAGUAAUCUGCAACAUUUUUUAAAUCAUCGUGGCUUUUGUUUUGUGGUCCAUGUAUGUAGGCCUAGCAGAGUGGCCUGAUGGCCCUGGCUGCAGAGCAGCAUUCAGAACAUGUGGCAGUGUGUUUGUCGUAAAGACCUGGUCUGAUUUAUCUCUCCCCAACAGCAGCACAAACAGACUGCAGUGCUUUCCUCCUGCACCGCCUGCCAAAUAAUGCAGCCAGAUAAAUAAAGCUGCCACCCCACAGAGGGCACCGCCAGCCUGGCCAGUUUGUGUUAGGUUUGUGUAUGGGGAAAACCAGAACUACAGGGAGACAUGAACUGCGUCUCAAAUGACACCCUAUUCUCUAUUUGGUGCAGUACUGCAAUAAAUAGGGGAUAGGGUGCCAUUUGGGACGCAUUCAUAGUGCUGUAGGCCUAGUGUCCUGUUAGUUUAGGCCAAUGGGCAAGAUCACCUCACACAUGGACCUGAGGAAUCAGAUUCAGGCAAUCUAUUUUUGACUGCAUGCAUUCAUAAUUUUUAUUUUUUAUUUCACCUUUAUUUAACCAGGUAGGCAAGUUGAGAACAAGUUCUCAUUUACAAUUGCGACCUGGCCAAGAUGAAGCAAAGCAGUUCGACACAUACAACGACACAGAGUUACAUAAUCAUGUGAAUACAUUCAGGAUUUGCUGUUCUGCCAUGAUCCUUUUAAGGUUUUCUAUGUUCCCACAUCGAAGUGUUAAUGUAGUUAGGUUUAUGUAGUGAAAUAUUAAUUGACUUGUGGAUGAGUUUCAAGUCUUUGGAAUGUGUAAAAAAAACAAUGCUAUUUUAUUGAUUUACUGGUAGGGGUACAUCAUUUCUAGGCCAUAUUCAAAUAAAAAAUAAACAAGCAUAGCUAUGAUCGUUUUAAUUCUGCUGCCUAUUGCACAUUGUAAAUAGUUGUCUCAAUGGUCUACAACUGGAGUACUAGCUAUCGUUACAUCAAAAACAAUGCCAGUAGGUCUAUUGAAAUACGGGGGUAUAACAGGCAACUAUCUUGUCUGUUAUACCUGUCUUAGAAGAGGCUCAACCAGAUAUUCCUUACCACAUAGAUCCUAUUAAAUUACAUUCUAUGUUUUUGUGACUUACCUCCUAAUAACUAGCUAUUGUGUGUGUGUGUGUGUGUGUGUGUGUGUGUGCUAAAAUAAUAAUAUGCACCGUUUAAAUAGCUAACAAAAUGGCCACAAAAUGCACAUUCUACACGCUCACACACACAACGUGCACACACAUUGAUACUGUACACCAGUGGAGGCUGCUGAGGGAAGGAUGGCUCAUAAUAAUGGCUGGAAUGGAGCGAAUGGCAUCAAACACAUGGAAACCAUGUAUUUGAUACCAUUCCGCUCCAGCCAUUACCACGAGCCCGUCCUCCCCAAUUAAGGCGCAACCAACCUCCUGUGCUGUACACACACUCUCAAUCAUCAUAUAUGCGGCUGCUAGUCUAUCAUAUAUCCUAGUCACCUUACCCCUAUACAUGUCUACCUCUUAUCAAUCCAGUGCCUUAGGGGUAAGGUGACUAGGAUAUAUGAUAAACAGACUAGAAGCAGUAUAUAUGAUGAUUGAGAGUGUGUGUACAGCACAGGAGGUUGGUGGCACCUUAAUUGGGGAGGACGUGCUCGUGGUAAUGGCCGGAGCGGAAUAGGUGGAAUUGUAUCAAAUACAUCAAACGCAUGGUUUCCGCUUGUAUGUGACAGAGAGAGAGUGUGUGUGUGAACACGAGUGUAAGAAACAGCUAACCUCUCGCUGUUAAACAAAAGAAAAAUAACACAGUGCCAAUUAGGGGCUGCCCUAGACAGGGCCCCAGUACCAAGCAGUCCGAUGCCACAUUAAUAAAACAUGGCCCCCAGCUCUGGGCUCUGCUCGCUGGCUAAUUGGCAAAUAAGAAAGUGAGAUGCAUUAAAUGAGAGAACACUGCAUUCGCCAGAGACGAUGCCCCCCCCCCUUUGCCUCACACUAAGGCCCUAGUAAGUAUCCUAUCUUUUGAGGAAUAUUGGUCUUAAUCUAUUCAAAAAAAAUGUUUGUCAUGAAUCAUUUGUGUUUUUGCUAUCAUCAAGUUUCAACAUGCCAAAAUGAUUUUUAGUUGAAAAGACAUUUCAAGUGGAUGAUGCAACAUGUGAUCAUAUUGCAGACAGUGAUUAUUAGCUUUAAGGAAAGCCUUGAAUGACUCACAUCGCUAUUAUCAAGUCUCUUGCACUAUCAUGUCAAUUUCCUGAAUGAGGCCAUGUUUGCUUGAGUACAAUAUAAUAACUACUAAGUCAAGUCAGACACUGUGAUACGUUUACCAAAGUCCAUGUUAAAUGCCCAAUGCAGUUGUUUUCAUCUCAAUAUCAAAUCCUUUCUGGGUAACAAUUAUUGCCUAACUUAGCAAGAGCAAUUUCUCAAGCAUGAAUUUUACUAGGACAGUCUGAGUGGGGAGGGGAAAACUAGCUGUUUAAUGGCAGAGGGGUUUGGAACGCUGUUUGUUAUUGGUCUAACUAAUUGACCUCCUGAUGAUGUCGAGGCAGGCCAAAACUGUAUCCCACCAAAACAAGGUGACAUUUCAGGCAGUCUUUUCAAACACCUCUUACACUAAAAGGGCAUUAUCAUAAUUUUCACAUGUUCACACUUUUAUUGCACACUUAUAGUGUGCGCCUAUAUAACACACACAGGGAAAUCACGUUUUUGACUGCACUGGGCCUUUAACAUUUGGCUUAUAAUGAAAUGUAAGGGGUAACCUGCCUUGCCUUGCCUUCCAUUUUCUCCCUCCAGAACUGAUUGCAGUGGCUCACUUGUGACAUCUGUUGGAAGAAAGAGGAAUUACACAGACCAUUGAAACACAAGAUACACACUUAUCAAACAUACAGAAACCAUCUAUCCUAAACUAACCCAUUUAUCAUCAGUUUGUACUGAUGAUAAACCAAUGAACUGAUAACUGUCUGAACAUCUCUUUCCUCCUGCAGACCGUAGACACUUUCUUCAUCAGCCGAUACGUCCUGCUGUCGGUGGCCAGCGUAGGCUUCUUGGUUGCUCUGUUCGGCCUGCUGCCCCUCCAUUUCCUGGAAGCUGUCUAAGCCAAGCCCUUGAACACACUAGAGCUGAGUGGCCAGGCCAAGUUGGCAUGCUAGACUAGUGGCCAGGGCCCAAUGUGCAGCGCUGGAGAUGAGAAGAGGCCAACUAAGAGGGGCCCUAGUGAAAUCGAGCGCAGGACAGGUUGGCAACCGAGCCCAAAAACAGACAGGGCCAAUGUUUUCUCCGUGAUCGACUGUUUGUUGUUGGGGGGAAUUUUGGGCCAACUGAAAUUAAAGAGGCUACUAUGUUCUUUGGUAUAGGCCACUGUAAACAUAAACAAUGUGUUUUGUGUUUAUGGAUAGCAAUUAGGCUACUUUGAAUUGUGGUGGUGGAAUAGCACUUGCAUUAAUAUAAUGCAUUUAUCUCUGUUGCCUGAUUCAGAAGUUCAGAGGAUAAGACUGAUAACUGUAUGUAUAUUUUUGACAUUCACUUUUUUUUUCUCCACUUGUAUUUAUAAAAUGGAUGUAUUGUGAUUUUUAGGAGAACUUUAUUAAACAUUUCAAUAUUGUUAA